rnacentral:misc_RNA from 1 species
GAAAUGCGAUAAGUAAUGUGAAUUGCAGAAUUCAGUGAAUCAUCGAAUCUUUGAACGCAUCUUGCGCUCCUUGGUAUUCCUUGGAGCAUGCCUGUUUGAGUAUCAUGAAAUCUUCAAAGUAAAUCUUUUGUUAACUCAAUUGGUUUCUACUUUGGUAUUGGAGGUCUUUGCAGCUUCACACCUGCUCCUCUUUGUUCAUUAGCUGGAUCUCAGUGUUAUGCUUGGUUCCACUCGGCGUGAUAAGUUAUCUAUCGCUGAGGACACUGUAAAAGGUGGCCAAGGUAAAUGCAGAUGAACCGCUUCUAAUAGUCCAUUGACUUGGAAAAUACUUUUAUGAUCUGAUCUCAAAUCAGGUAGGACUACCCGCUGAACUUAAGC